rnacentral:lncRNA from 1 species
AGAUCAAUUUUUUUUUUUGUUGUCCCUCUAGGAUUCGGCCCAGCCUAUUCCAAAGCUAUUUGUGGAUAUUUUGCCUAGCCUAGCCUGUAGUCUGUGAUUUUGCUGGUCAUACAGGCCCAAUCCAUAUAUCUUACAGGAUUUUCAGCCCAAUCCAAUAGGAAAAUCCAAACAAGCCAGUGGGCAACUUAUACUUACAUCCAUAUAGAUAGCGAGAAAAUUUGAGGUAUCCUUGUCUACAUGCUCAUAGUGGAGGUGAUAUGCUUCAAUGCAUUUUAGCAUUAGAAGAUCGGUUAUGUUUUUGUGAGAACUGAUGCCAAAGGUGCCAACAGCAUGUCCCCAUGCAAGCAGA